rfam:Triticum aestivum genome assembly, contig: Triticum_aestivum_CS42_TGACv1_scaffold_147340_2BS
GGAAUACUCCCUCCGUCCGAAAAUACUUGUCGGAGAAAUGGAUAAAAAUGGAUGCAUGUAGAGCUAAAAUGCAUCUAGAUACAUCCAUUUCUCCGACAAGUAUUUCCGGACGGAGGGAGUAUGGA